UACGUAGGGUGCAAGCGUUAAUCGGAAUUACUAGGCGUAAAGCGUGCGCAGGCGGUUUUGAAAGUCUGACGUGAAAUCCCCGGGCUCAACCUGGGAAUUGCGAUGGAGACUGCAAGGCUUGAAUCUGGCAGAGGGGGGUAGAAUUCCACGUGUAGCAGUGAAAUGCGUAGAGAUGUGGAGGAACACCGAUGGCGAAGGCAGCCCCCUGGGUCAAGAUUGACGCUCAUGCACGAAAGCGUGGGGAGCAAACAGG
rnacentral:rRNA from 1 species